rnacentral:misc_RNA from 1 species
CUGAGCUUAUGGUUAUUCUAACUUAUAUGUUUUAUCUGUGAAAAAUAAAUCUCAUAAUAAAAUAGUUAUAAUAUAUUAUUCAGCGUAUUGUAAAGUUGUUCUAUUUGUAUAAUAUUUCCCGUAAAAUCUUCGAUCUGCUUAUUGUUAUUUUUUAGUUAAAUGCACAUUUUUUAUACUUUUAUAAAAAUUAUAUAAUUGAAACGCUUAGGUUUGCCAUGGGCGAGUUUCAAAGUUAAUGCAGUUAUUUAUAUAUGUAAAAUGAUUUAAAUUAAUUUUGAAUCUCGUGUGUGGUGUUUAUUUUUGUACAAAUAAAUAAGCAUAUUCAUAUAUAUUUAUAAUUUUAUUAAAUUUAAUUUGUAAUAGAAAACAUGUAGGGUGGUAAAGGUAUAUAGUAAGUUCGGAAAAUGGGUCUCAAAGUAGCGACUAAGUCGAGGCAAUGUGAUAGGCUGAUUCAUGUAAACUGUGAUUAAUAUUCACUUCAAUUGUAGAUCGCAAUGUCGUAAUGGAUUUAUCCAUUACGACGCUAUAAAGUAUCGACGUCAACGAUAAAUAUUUUUGUUCGUGAUUUCUGUGUCAGUUAUUUAAAAAGCAGUUAUUGUCUAUGAGCCAGAUAUUUGUUAUUAUUUUAUAAAUUUUAAGGGUCUCUUUCACUGUUGUGGAUCACACUAUUGACGGAUGACGGGAUCCAACGUUAUUAUUCUUUUUUAUCAUUGAAUUCUACAACGUUUAUGAGAAAGUUCUAUUCGCAAUUGUGAACAUAAAAAUUGUACUUUAUUAAUUGAGAAGAAAUUGGUCAUAAUAGUCAUUUCUACCACCUGCUGUUAAAGUCUAUUCGUAACAUAUUUUCAUGAUUAAUUUUAUCCAAAACCGUUGAAACAGGCCCUUAACCUAAUUAUUACUUUGAUGUAAUUAUUUUUUUACAGUUUAAUUGUUUUACUAAUGUAACUCAACCAGUUGUAGUGAAUAUAAAACACAAUUGUAUUAGUUGUAAACGCCGUGGGUGCCAAUACUUAUAUUGCUUGAUUUUUCCAAUAAUAAAUGUUUAUUUAACAAAAAUAAUGGUAUGUGUUUCGAUAGGAAUAGAGAUAGCUCACGAGGCUGAGUAACUGGUUAUCGUAGUUAGUGGUAUUUUUACGAAUGUUUAAAAAGGUAUGUUAUGUCGUAUACACUCAUGUUAACUUAUGCUAGAGUGUUGACAAUAUCUUUUGGAAUUCCUCUAUAUUUUGUAUACAGCCCAAUAUUUAUUGUACAGUGUAAUAAAAUACCAUGCAUGUAUAAAAAAAAAAAAAAAAAAAAAAAAAAAAAAAAAAAAAAAUACAGUCGAAUUGAGAACCUCCCCCUUUUUUGGAAGUCGGUUAAUAAACG